GUUGAAAAAUUAGCGGAUGACCUGUGGCUGGGGGUGAAAGGCCAAUCAAACCGGGAGAUAGCUGGUUCUCCCCGAAAGCUAUUUAGGUAGCGCCUCGUGAAUUCAUCUCCGGGGGUAGAGCACUGUUUCGGCUAGGGGGCCAUCCCGGCUUACCAACCCGAUGCAAACUGCGAAUACCGGAGAAUGUUAUCACGGGAGACACACGGCGGGUGCUAACGUCCGUCGUGAAGAGGGAAACAACCCAGACCGCCAGCUAAGGUCCCAAAGUCAUGGUUAAGUGGGAAACGAUGUGGGAAGGCCCAGACAGCCAGGAUGUUGGCUUAGAAGCAGCCAUCAUUUAAAGAAAGCGUAAUAGCUCACUGGUCGAGUCGGCCUGCGCGGAAGAUGUAACGGGGCUAAACCAUGCACCGAAGCUGCGGCAGCGAACGUAUCACUUAAAGCGAUUCAGCGGGUUACGAUUGACGGAGCGAAGCGACGUCAAAGCGUAUACAAAGUCGAGUCGGUUUAAGGAUACGUUCGUUGGGUAGGGGAGCGUUCUGUAAGCCUGUGAAGGUGUGUCGUGAGGCAUGCUGGAGGUAUCAGAAGUGCGAAUGCUGACAUAAGUAACGAUAAAGCGGGUGAAAAGCCCGCUCGCCGGAAGACCAAGGGUUCCUGUCCAACGUUAAUCGGGGCAGGGUGAGUCGACCCCUAAGGCGAGGCCGAAAGGCGUAGUCGAUGGGAAACGGGUUAAUAUUCCCGUACUUGGUGUUACUGCGAAGGGGGGACGGAGAAGGCUAUGUUGGCCGGGCGACGGUUGUCCCGGUUUAAGCGUGUAGGUGUGUGUUCCAGGUAAAUCCGGUUCACUUUAACACUGAGGCGUGAUGACGAGGCACUACGGUGCUGAAGCAACAAAUGCCCUGCUUCCAGGAAAAGCCUCUAAGCAUCAGGUAACAUCAAAUCGUACCCCAAACCGACACAGGUGGUCAGGUAGAGAAUACCAAGGCGCUUGAGAGAACUCGGGUGAAGGAACUAGGCAAAAUGGUGCCGUAACUUCGGGAGAAGGCACGCUGACACGUAGGUGAAGUGAUUUACUCAUGGAGCUGAAGUCAGUCGAAGAUACCAGCUGGCUGCAACUGUUUAUUAAAAACACAGCACUGUGCAAACACGAAAGUGGACGUAUACGGUGUGACGCCUGCCCGGUGCCGGAAGGUUAAUUGAUGGGGUCAGCGCAAGCGAAGCUCCUGAUCGAAGCCCCGGUAAACGGCGGCCGUAACUAUAACGGUCCUAAGGUAGCGAAAUUCCUUGUCGGGUAAGUUCCGACCUGCACGAAUGGCGUAAUGAUGGCCAGGCUGUCUCCACCCGAGACUCAGUGAAAUUGAACUCGCUGUGAAGAUGCAGUGUACCCGCGGCAAGACGGAAAGACCCCGUGAACCUUUACUAUAGCUUGACACUGAACAUUGAGCCUUGAUGUGUAGGAUAGGUGGGAGGCUUUGAAGCGUGGACGCCAGUCUGCGUGGAGCCGACCUUGAAAUACCACCCUUUAAUGUUU
rnacentral:rRNA from 1 species